rnacentral:rRNA from 1 species
GCAUAUCAAUAAGCGGAGGAAAAGAAACCAACAGGGAUUGCCUUAGUAACGGCGAGUGAAGCGGCAAAAGCUCAAAUUUGAAAUCGGCCAUCAGGUCGAGUUGUAAUUUGUAGAUUGUACUUUGAGAGCGGAUUAAAGUCUGUUGGAACACAGCGCCUUAGAGGGUGACAGCCCCGUAAAAUCUAUUCUCAUUGUAAGGUACUUUCGAAGAGUCGAGUUGUUUGGGAAUGCAGCUCUAAGUGGGAGGUAAAUUCCUUCUAAAGCUAAAUAUUGACGAGAGACCGAUAGCGAACAAGUACUGUGAAGGAAAGAUGAAAAGCACUUUGAAAAGAGAGUGAAAAAGUACGUGAAAUUGUUAAAAGGGAAGGGUAUUGAAUCAGACGUGGUGCUGUUGUUCAACUUUGUUUCGGCAUGGUGUACUCAGCAGUACUAGGCCAAGGUGGGGUGUUUGGGAGUGAAAAAGGAAUAGGAACGUAGCUCUUCGGAGUGUUAUAAUCUAUUUUCAUAGCUCCUCAGGCGCCUCAGGACUGCGCUUCGGCAAGGACUUUGGCAUAAUGAUUCUAUACCGCCCGUCUUGAAACACGGACC